GAGAAGAUUUUACUGGGGAAGCAAAAAAGGAAGAGGAAGACGCACUGGGUUUCUUGGGACACACUCACAAUGCCUAAGUAUAUGGGCGGUUUGGGCUUCAGGGAUAUGGAGUUAUUUAACCUGGCCCUUUUAGCACGCCAAGCAUGGAGGUGUCUAGUCUCUCCGGAGACUCUAAGUGCGAGGAUUUUGAAGGCAGUAUAUCACCCAUCUUCCGAUAUUUUAGGUGCUGAACUAGGGUCAAGACCAUCGCAAAUAUGGCGCUCAGCGCUCGAGGGUCGGGAUGUCAUACGGACUAGACUAAUUUGCAGGAUUGGAGAUGACCGAACUACUCAGGUUCGGUCGGACAAUUGGAUCCCAAGGGACGAACGACGUAUACCAUAUGGUGUCCGGUCGCAUGAUUGUCCACAAUUGGUUUCAGAAUUUUUGAAUCAAACAGAAGGCACUUGGGAUGUACAAAAACUGGAACAAUACCUUCUGCCAAUGGACGUGGACUAUAUUACUCUCUCCAUUUCCUUAUACAAGGCCACAAACUCAAAUUACAGGUACCAAGAUAAAAUUUAA
rnacentral:rRNA from 1 species